GCAUAUCAUAAGCGGAGGAAAAGAAAACCAACAGGGAUUACCUCAGUAACGGCGAGUGAAGCGGUAACAGCUCAAAUUUGAAAUCUGGCUCUUUCAGGGUCCGAGUUGUAAUUUGUAGAAGAUGCUUUGGGUGUGGCCCUGGUCUAAGUUCCUUGGAACAGGACGUCAUAGAGGGUGAGAAUCCCGUAUGUGACUAGGCGCUUUCGCCCGUGUAAAGCUCUUUCGACGAGUCGAGUUGUUUGGGAAUGCAGCUCAAAAUGGGUGGUAAAUUUCAUCUAAAGCUAAAUAUUGGCCAGAGACCGAUAGCGCACAAGUAGAGUGAUCGAAAGAUGAAAAGCACUUUGGAAAGAGAGUUAAACAGUACGUGAAAUUGUUGAAAGGGAAGCGCUUGCAACCAGACUUAGUGGCGGCCGAUCAUCUAGGGUUCUCCCUGGUGCACUCGGUCGUCUCUAGGCCAGCAUCGGUUUGGGUGGUGGGAUAAAGGCCUUGGGAAUGUAGCUCCUCUCGGGGAGUGUUAUAGCCCUCGGUGCAAUGCCGCCUACCCGGACCGAGGACCGCGCUUCGGCUAGGAUGCUGGCGUAAUGGUUGUAAGCGACCCGUCUUGAAACACGGACCAAGGAGUCUAACAUCUAUGCGAGUAUUUGGGUGUCAAACCCAUAUGCGUAAUGAAAGUGAACGGAGGUGAGAACCCUUAAGGGUGCAUCAUCGACCGAUCCUGAUGUCUUCGGAUGGAUUUGAGUAAGAGCAUAGCUGUUGGGACCCGAAAGAUGGUGAACUAUGCCUAAAUAGGGUGAAGCCAGAGGAAACUCUGGUGGAGGCUCGCAGCGGUUCUGACGUGCAAAUCGAUCGUCAAAUUUGGGUAUAGGGGCGAAAGACUAAUCGAAACCAUCUAGUAGCUGGCUUCCUGCCCGAAG
rnacentral:rRNA from 1 species